rnacentral:rRNA from 1 species
AACGAACGCUCGCGGCAUGCCUAACACAUGCAAGUCGAACGAGACCUUCGGGUCUAGUGGCGCACGGGUGCGUAACGCGUGGGAACCUGCCCUUAGGUUCGGAAUAACUCCCCGAAAGGGGUGCUAAUACCGGUUAAUGUCUUCGGACCAAAGAUUUAUCGCCUUUGGAUGGGCCCGCGUUUGAUUAGCUAGUUGGUAGGGUAAAAGCCUACCAAGGCGACGAUCCAUAGCUGGUCUGAGAGGAUGAUCAGCCACACUGGGACUGAGACACGGCCCAGACUCCUACGGGAGGCAGCAGUGGGGAAUAUUGGACAAUGGGCGAAAGCCUGAUCCAGCAAUGCCGCGUGAGUGAUGAAGGCCUUAGGGUUGUAAAGCUCUUUUACCCGGGAUGAUAAUGACAGUACCGGGAGAAUAAGCUCCGGCUAACUCCGUG